rnacentral:sRNA from 1 species
GCCCCACCUCGUCAUACCAUCCCUGUGGGUUAUAAUUUCAACGUAGGGAUUUGGGGAGGACACCAAUAUUCAGACCAUAGCAACCCUCUGCUUCCUCUUGUCUUGCUGGAAUGGAACUGGCCUGUCUUCCCUACUGGAAUAUAAACUCCAUGAUGGUAGAAGCCAUGUUGCUUUGCCCACCAUGGGUAGCAUGCGGAAGACGCCGGACUCUUCCUUAAAUAGAUACGUGUGUGAAUGGACAGCGGGCUCAUGAUUCACGUAAGAGUCAACAGCUCCGGAAGCCUCUUGGCGUCACUCGCAUUGCUCCUCUGCCGACUCCCGAAGGUCCUUCUUGUGGAUGGAAACGGGGUGCUCCACCACCGAGGCUUUGGGGUGGCCUGCCACCUUGGCGUCCUUACAGACCUGCCUUGCGUUGGGGUGGCCAAGAAACUU